rnacentral:rRNA from 1 species
AUUGAACGCUGGCGGCAGGCCUAACACAUGCAAGUCGAGCGGAUGAAGGGAGCUUGCUCCUGGAUUCAGCGGCGGACGGGUGAGUAAUGCCUAGGAAUCUGCCUGGUAGUGGGGGAUAACGUCCGGAAACGGGCGCUAAUACCGCAUACGUCCUGAGGGAGCAAGUGGGGGAUCUUCGGACCUCACGCUAUCAGAUGAGCCUAGGUCGGAUUAGCUAGCUGGUGGGGUAAAGGCCUACCAAGGCGACGAUCCGUAACUGGUCUGAGAGGAUGAUCAGUCACAUUGGAACGGGAACACGCACCAGACGCCUAAGGGAGGCAGCAGUGGGGAAUAGGGGGCAAUGGGCGAAAGCCUGAUACAGCCAUGCCGCGUGUGUGAAAAAGGUCUUCGGAUUGUAAAGCACUUUAAGUUGGGAGGAAGGGCAGUAAGUUAAUACCUUGCGGUUUUGACGUUACCAACAGAAGAAGCACCGGCUAACUUCGUG